UACGAAGGGGGCUAGCGUUGCUCGGAAUCACUGGGCGUAAAGCGCACGUAGGCGGUCUCUUAAGUCGGUGGUGAAAUCCUGGAGCUCAACUCCAGAACUGCCUUUGAUACUGGCGACCUUGAGUCCGGGAGAGGUGAGUGGAACUGCGAGUGUAGAGGUGAAAUUCGUAGAUAUCAAGCGGAACACCGGUGGCGAAGGCGGCCUUCUGGACAGUGACUGACGCUGAGACGCGAAAGCGUGGGGAGCAAACAGG
rnacentral:rRNA from 1 species